UUUCCGUAGGUGAACCUGCGGAAGGAUCAUUAGUGGAUUAUGAAUCUUUGGGCUGCUGCUUGCUCCCCUCGGCGGGCAUGUGCCAGCUUGUUGUCCAUUAUUUCUCUCACUCUUCACAUAUUGUAGAUCUUUCAGUCGGCCUAUGUUGUUUUUCACAAUCUCUUAAUUUAAUAGAAUGUUUUUUAAUCAUAGCUAAUUAAAUCUAACUUUCACCAACGGAUCUCUUGUCUCUUCCAUAGAUGACGAACGCAACCGAACGAACGAGCACACGACUGAACC
rnacentral:misc_RNA from 1 species